AAUCAACGCUGGCGGCGUGCCUAACACAUGCAAGUCGAACGCGAAAGUGGAGCAAUCCAUGAGUAGAGUGGCAAACGGGUGAGUAACACGUGGGCGACCUACCUUUGAGUGGGGGAUAACCUUCCGAAAGGAGGGCUAAUACCGCAUGACAUUCUGUGUUUGGAUACAUGGAAAUCAAAGCCGGGGAUCGUAAGACCUGGCGCUUGAAGAGGGGCCCGCGUCCGAUUAGCUAGUUGGUGAGGUAACGGCUCACCAAGGCUCCGAUCGGUAUCCGGCCUGAGAGGGCGGACGGACACACUGGAACUGAGACACGGUCCAGACUCCUACGGGAGGCAGCAGUGGGGAAUUGUUCGCAAUGGGCGCAAGCCUGACGACGCAACGCCGCGUGGAGGAUGAAGAAUUUCGGUUCGUAAACUCCUUUCGACCGAGAUGAACACCUCGCGAUCUAAUACAUCGCGGGGCUGACAGUAUCGAGAGAAGAAGCCCCGGCUAACUCUGUG
rnacentral:rRNA from 1 species